rnacentral:lncRNA from 1 species
GGUAAGCUGUACCUGUCAGGUCCCCACAUCACUCCAUGAAUCAUCUUCUAGACAUCUUUCAAGUAGGCCAAAGCCCGAUGUGCCACCAACUUCGUUUAGCCUCUUUCGUUUCUAUGAUAAAUCAUAAAAAUUAGUUUUUUUAAGAAUGGGUGCUUCAUCGAUUUACCCGGUAUAUCCCAUAACUACAUCACGGAAUCUCAUGGCAGGGUCAACAAUCACCUCAAAAUCAUAAUGUGGUUGUCCUUAACGUCAAGCCAAACAUCAGUUGUUCUUCGAUCCGUUGCUGACGGCAACUUCAUAAUAUACGAGUGGCAUCAAUAGCAUCACAACAAUUUUAAAGCCUCUAAUAUUCUCAAAUUUGGAUUUCAUCUGUGUGAAUUCCUUGUAUGUUGUCAGCCAUUGGAGGUGGUGGAGGAGCCCACAUUGUUCAAUUAACAAACCAAACUUUCAAGUACUA